rnacentral:snRNA from 1 species
CCCCAGGUCAGGCGGGAUUACCCGCUGA